AGCGAACGCUGGCGGCAGGCCUAACACAUGCAAGUCGAACGAAGUCUUCGGACUUAGUGGCGGACGGGUGAGUAACACGUGGGAACGUGCCUUUAGGUUCGGAAUAACUCAGGGAAACUUGUGCUAAUACCGAAUGUGCCCUUCGGGGGAAAGAUUUAUCGCCUUUAGAGCGGCCCGCGUUGGAUUAGCUAGGUGGUGAGGUAAAGGCUCACCAAGGCGACGAUUAGUAGCUGGUCUUAGAGGAUGAUCAGCCAAAUUGGGACUGAGACACGGGCCAAACUCCUACGGGAGGCAGCAGUGGGGAAUCUUGCGCAAUGGGCGAAAGCCUGACGCAGCCAUGCCGCGUGAAUGAUGAAGGUCUUAGGAUUGUAAAAUUCUUUCACCGGGGACGAUAAUGACGGUACCCGGAGAAGAAGCCCCGGCUAACUUCGUGCCAGCCGCCGCUGUAA
rnacentral:rRNA from 1 species